rnacentral:tRNA from 1 species
UAGCCUAGUGGUUAAGGCUAUGGAUCGCCAAUCCGGAGACAACGGGUUCGAUUCUCGU